GCACGCGUUGAUGUCGCACCUCCCCCGACAUCCCCUUUUCUUGUGUGCUGCUGCUUUCUUUUGCCAUCGCCUCCUCUGCUCGAACCACCGGACACACACGCACAGGCACACACAGGCACCAUUCUUGCACGUGUGCGAUUCAAUACUUCUCAAAACGUCCGCCGCCUUUUACCACUGACCACUCCUCGUACUCGCUCCUUCCGUCUGAAUUUACAAAUUCUAAGCAACGGCAACGAGCGCAGUAUCGUCAGCCCUGUGACGAGGCUGCACCGCAUCGCAGCGAGAAAGCAGCGGAGCUCCUGGCAAGAGGGGCGGCAACGCACAGAAGGCAAACACGACUGGGGUGCAGAGAAGCAGUUGUGAUGCGCAGCCGCGCUCUCACAGCGUCAAUGCGGUGUAGCAGCGUGGCAGCUUCCUUGUCGCCUCUCUCGUCGACGGAGUAUUGUGCUCGUUUUUUUUUUUGGCCUCUUUUCGUUUGUUUGUGUGUGUGUGUGUGCGUCGUUUUUCAUACAUCGACAGUACGGCCGUUACAUCCGCCAACACCCACCCAGCUCAUCUCUUUGUCUUCUUUUUUUUCCGAGUGCUUCUGCUGGCUUGUCCCCUCCACACACACACAUACACACAUACGUACACCACACUUAUCUCUUGCCCGCUUCCUCGUUUGUUUUUUUUUUCUUGUCAGCGAGCGCAAGCCUCUGUUUUCGACUUUCUUCUCCUGGCGAUAGAAUUCACCUGCUUUCCAUCUCGAGCUCUUUGCAUAUCUAAUUGGCCUCGAUGCCUCUUUACCCUCCCCCCUCGCUGCACCUCUCAAGCGCUAGUGCCAUCGUUGGCCUCACCAAAUUCUCGUGACUCUCUUCGUCUUGUUUUUUUUUCGCGCCUUUUCAAAAUCCCCUUCCGACUUUCGUCUGGUUUAGCAUCUCGUCGCAUACGCGUCGAGCUCAACGACGUCCAUGACCGCCGAAGCCCUCUCCCCACCUUCUCUUUACUCUCCGCAUCCCAGCGAGUACCCCAUUUCUCGCUUCUCCGACUCGCUUUCUUUUUCUUUUUUUUCUUGGCAGAGCCCGUCCGAGCGAACCGGAGCCGCUCUAUUCGAGGGAAGGGGGUGGUGAGGGAGUCUAUCUCUAUCUCUCUGUGUAUGUGUGCGCGUGUGUUGUUUUAGUUUUCAUACGAGCCUUUUUCGAGCUUCUCUCUGCCUUUUUUUUUGCGAAUCUCCGCGAUCUUCUACUGCCUGCCUCUAUCCCGCUUCUCUGCACACCCUCUGCAGCCACAGAGCGGAGGGAUCAGGCGGUGCGUUCUGUUUUUCGCUUGCUUCUUCUAUUAUCUCGUGCUGCCCUGAACGUUCACGACCUCAGCCAUAGCUGUAUAGAUGCCCGCAUAUUCCGUGUCAGGCCAACUUGCGCGCGCAAGCGCCACACCUCACCCGCCUGUCCACCCGACGGUGCUGACACCGGUGUAUCAUCAGUCGUCCCAUCCCCGACCUCCACCACGGGGACUUAGAGACCUCUUUGGUGAAGAGCCCGCAUAUGAGAAGCAGCCGGAGGACCGUGCCGGCUGGCUACUCGGGGCGUUUUUUCAUACGUGGCUUGGCGACCUCAUGCAGCGCGCGGCGCGAGAGGAGCUGACCAUGGAUGGGCUGCCGCGCCCGAUGCGCGAGUACCGCGCCUACAACGCUGGCGUCGCGCUGUCGGCGGAGCUGCAGCGCCAGCGAGCGCGCCGCCAUGCGUGGGACGGCUACGUCGGCGCGCGCGUCGGCGUGCGCUGGGACGACGCCAGCGACGGCGUGCUGCGCUGGGUGGGCGCGGUGCAGCAGUACGGCACGCCGGGGCGGCUGUACGCGGGCGUGGAGUGGCGCGUGGCCCCGUCGCGGCGCCGUGGCUGCUGCGUUCGGCGCUGCAUGGGGUGGCUGCUGUGCCGCGGAUGCAGCGCCCCUGUCCCGGAGCAGGGUCCCGGCGCGCAUCACCGCGGCGAGGUGGAUGGCGAGCACCUGUUCGACCCCGUGGACAAUAACACGGUGCUGACGUGCGAGCGAGUCGAUGAUGUUGUGUUUCGCCCCCUCGACCGCUACCCGGCAGGCGCAGUACCGCCGCCAGGUUUCUCCACGGAAGAUGCGAAAACGUGCGAAGCCCCCCAAGUGGAGUCAGUAUUGUAUGCUGUCUUCUACUGCUUCCGCAAGCCGCUUCUGUGGCUGCUGCCGUUGCGCUUCGUCGUCGAACUGAGUGCACUGCUGACACCGAUGGCGCGGAAGUGGUACGUGGGGUAUCUGGCGCCCCCAGUGGCCCCUCAGGCCACGACGAAGGUGCCGCCGCCGCCGAUUUUCCACGCAUUCUGCAGCGUUGCGGUUGUCUUCUGUGUCUCGCUUGUGAACAGCGUAACAACAGCCAAGUAUGAGCAGCUGUGCAGACGAUACGCAUUCGCCGCUCGCUCCGCGCUUUCUUCUUGCAUCGCUGCCAAGUGCCUUCUCAUCUCCGAGAAGUCUGUACAGCGACCCGAGCUGAACGCGGGGCGCAUUGUCAACCUCGUCGCAUCCGAUGUGGAGGUUCUCGUGAGUGCCUUUCAGGGACUGUGGAUGAUUGUCACCAUUCCUGUGCUGCUCGUCGCCGCUGUCUGUCUCCUCUACCGAACCAUGGGUUUCAGCGCGCUUGUCGGCGUGGGCCUGAUGAUGCUGAUAGCUCCGCUGCAAAUUCUCGCUACGAUCAUGUCAUCCAGGUGCUCGUACGCGCUCGCAUUGGCAACUGACGAACGACUCCGCACUACGAACGAGUUCCUCUCCGGCAUCCGCGCCAUCAAGUUCAUGGGAUUCGAGCGCCACUUCCAGCGAUUAAUAACCGAGAAACGAGAUGCCGAGCUGGCGGCACUCCGUCGUUUUCAAAUUGCCACCACGGGUACGAUGUUUGCAACGAGCCUCACUCCGAUCUUGACGCUGGCGUCCACCUUUAUUACAUACGCCCUCACCGGUCACGCGAUGUCUCCCCAUGUCGUGUACCCGGUUAUCUCCCUCCUGCAGCUCAUCCACACACCGCAGCAGACAAUGUUCUCGUUUCUCGUCGUCUACGCGCAGUUCUUUGUGUCCAUGAAGCGUCUCACCUCCUUCCUUGCCGCUGACGACGCGCAGGCACGCGACAUCCUUGAGGCGGCGCUGGCGUCGAAGGAGGGCGACGACGCGGCCGCCGUGCUGCGCAACGCGACGGUGAGCUCCUACAAGGCUGUGCCGCUGCCCCCGGCCAGCAGCCGCGAGGGCGGCGGUGGGGACACGCACUACGAGCUGCGCGCCAAGACGCUGCUGGCGGAUGUGGACCUGCGCGUGCCGCGCGGGCGGCUGACGGUGGUGCUGGGACCGACGGGCAGCGGCAAGUCCACGCUGCUGGACGCACUGAUCGGCGCGCUGGCGGUGACGCGCGGCCGCGUGGCGUGCUCGCGCAGCGUGGCCUACGUGCCGCAGCAGCCGUGGAUCAUGAACGCAACGCUGCGCGACAACGUCAUCUUCUUCGGCGCGCCGGACGCGGCGGCCUUCGAGCGCGCGGUGCGCAGCAGCCAGCUGGCCUCGGACCUGGCGCUGCUGGCGGACGGCCCGGAGACGGAGAUCGGCGAGAACGGCAUCAACCUGAGCGGCGGGCAGAAGGCGCGCGUGAGUCUAGCGCGCGCCGUGUACGCGGACCGCGACGUGUACUUGCUGGACGACCCGCUGUCGGCACUGGACGCGCAGGUGGGCGAGCGCGUGAUGCGCGAGUGCGUGUGCGGCGCGCUGGCCGGCAAGACGCGCGUGCUGGCCACUCACCAGGUCAGCGCCGCCGCCUACGCGGACCUGGUUGUGCUGCUGGAGGAGGGCCGCGUCGCCUUUCAGGGCAACUACGCCGCUUACUGCGAGUACGCCCGGCAGCAAGGAUGUACAGAAGAGAUGGCAGAGACAGUGGAUAACUGCUUCGCUAGCGAGACGGUGGACAAGCGUGCCGCGGCCUCUCGAAUAUGUGCCGUGCUCUCGCAAGCGAUGUCCAUGAAGAGCUGCGACACCGCUGACAGAUCAGCCGUUGCCAGCAAGCAACGGUGUGACGUUGAGGGGGCUGGUAAUCUUGAGCAGCAACAGGAAGAACCCAGGCUUCCCGACGAUGCGGCGGAACUGGCAGAGGCUGUCGAGGUGUUUGCGGAACCGACUGACAACAGAGAGGAGAAGGCUAGCGGGGCCGUUGCGUGGAGUAUGUAUCGCCGGUACAUCCAUGCUGCCGGUGGCAUGCACGUCUUCUGCGGUGCCACGGCCGUGUUUUUGCUCACGGAAGUGGCACAGCAGCUGCCAACUAUUUGGCUCUCUCUCUGGUCCUCUGGCGCCCUCGAGGGUGUGUCCAACAACGGCUGCAUUGUUGUCUUCACCAUAUUUGCCCUGAGCACCGUCUUUGUAAUCCCCGUCCGGGUUAUCUUCGUGUUCAAUGGGCUGCGAGAUGCUGCACGUGGGCUUCACUCAGGUCUUCUCAGCUCCCUCGUUGUGGCCACGCUCAACUUCUACGAAACGACCCCACUCGGACGUCUCACCAAUCGUCUGUCACGAGACAUGAGGGAAAUCGAUGCUGCACUGCCCACCUACGUCAUCUCUGCAGCCGUGCAUGGUAGCUUCAUCCUUGGCUACCUGCUCAUGCUCACCGUUUCGCAGCCGUUUACCGUUUUCCUGCUGGUGCCGUGCAUUUUGGUGUACGGCCACAUCUUUGUCUUCUUCUGCGCUGCCAACCGCGAGAUGCAGCGCCUGCUCAACAUCUCCAACUCGCCCGUCUUCUCGAUCCUGAACGAGGUACUCACAGGACGCUGGCUCAUCUGCACCUACGGUCGCGAGAACGCUGUCGUGGCACGUGCACUGCAAGGUCUCGAUAGCGUCUUUGCCUGUGCCUACAUGAAGGCUGUCGGUACGGUGUGGGUCACGGUGCGCGUGGAGCUGCUCGGAAACGCAUCCGUCUGUGUGCUAGCGCUACUCGGUGUCCUCUCAACACACAUCCCGUCGGUGCCCAUCAAUGCCGCCAUUUUGGCCUUGUGUUUCAUCAACGCCACUUCCCUCAGCCAAAAGCUUUCCAGCCUGAUUGGUGUCGGUGCAACGGUGGAGGCGUCCAUGAACUGCGUGGAGCGCGUGCUGUACUACACGGAUAACGCGCCAGCUGAAGAGCUCUGCGACGAAAAUGAGAACGUACACCCGCCCAAAAAUGUCUUCACACCUGCCGUGGUAGACGCGAUAGAGCUAUCUCCCGACGAUGUCUCCGCUGCUACAGCGCCUGCGGGGUCGCUUGUGCUGGAGCACGUGGACAUGCGGUACCGGCCGGGGCUGCCACUGGUGCUGCGCGACGUGUGCUUCGCGGUGGCGCCGGGGCAGAAGGUGGGCGUUGUGGGGCGCACCGGUAGCGGGAAGUCGACGCUGCUGCUGGCCUUCCUGCGGCUGGUGGAGGUGUGCGGCGGCCGCAUGCUCGUGUGCGGGCGCGACGCGCGCGACUACGGCGUGCGCGAGCUGCGCCGGCUCUUCUCGAUGAUCCCGCAGGACCCGCUGCUGUUCGACGGCACGGUGCGCAGCAACGUGGACCCUUUGGCUGCUGCGGCGACGCGGCGGUGUGGCGCGCGCUGCGGCAGGUGGGGAUGGAGGAGCGCGUGCGCGGCGAGGCGGGCGGGCUGGACGGGCGCGUGCAGGAGGGCGGCGCAAACUACAGCGUAGGCCAGCGCCAGCUGCUGUGCCUGGCGCGCGCGCUGCUCAAGCGCGGCAGCGCCUUCCUGCUCAUGGACGAGGCAACCGCAAACGUCGACCCCGCGCUCGACCGCCAGAUCCAGCGCACGGUGCAGCACACCUUUCGCGACUACACCGUCGUCACCAUCGCGCACCGCCUGCACACCGUCGCCGCCUGCGACGUCAUCCUCGUCAUGGACCAGGGCCGCGUUCUCGAGUUCGGCUCGCCGCGCGACCUUCUUUCGCGCGGGGACUCUGUGUUUAGCGUUCUCGUCUGCUCGCUGAGUAAAGGUUCUCGAAAGGCGUUUUACAGGGCCCUGAAGGAAGGCGUCGCUGGGUGAGACGGAGCAGUGUCAGCUGCUGUGCGCGGCGACGCCGGGGUGGACCAUGUGGGACACAGCCGUGAGACUUGACAAGUGCUUUUCCCUUUUCGUGCUUAUCUCGUUGCACCGUACUAUCUGCACGACGAUCUCCAAACGGUGUACCCUUACCAGACGUGCCCGAUGCGCUCUUUGCUGGGCUGUGGCGCGGCUCUGUCCUCAUUGCGGCGUAGGAUUUCGACGCAUACGCCGGCUUGGGUGGGUACGCCCUCUGUCUCGGUGUGUCUCUCAUCCUCCUCUUCCUUUCUCGGUAAUGCCGUAUGCCUGCUGUGAUGAGAGCGCGAACUUCUCUCCCUCUCGCUUUCCUCUCCUGCUGCUUUUUUGGUUGAGUACGUUGCUCCAUCGGUUUUUGUGUCUGCUGUUCCCAUGGACCGUCAUCCUGACAGCAGUGGGGGAGUGGACACCCUUUUCAGUGCGUGGUAUCUCAGGGUCCAGCGCACCCCUCUACCCCUCUGCC
rnacentral:misc_RNA from 1 species